rnacentral:rRNA from 1 species
GGCCGCCUACGGGAGGCAGCAGUGGGGGAUAUUGCACAACGGGGGAAACCCUGAUGCAGCGACGCCGCGUGUAGGAAGACGGUCCUCUGAAUUGUAAACUACUGUCCCCAGGGACGAAGAUGACGGUACCUGGGGAGGAAGCUCCGGCUAACUACGUGCCAGCAGCCGCGGUAAUACGUAGGGAGCGAGCGUUGUCCGGAAUUACUGGGUGUAGAGGGAGCGUAGGCGGGGAUGGAAGUUGGGAGUUAAAUCUACCG